GUGUGUCUCAGCUUUCUGCUCUGCGUCUCCCCCUGACCAGACACAGAGGUUUCAGGCUCUGUCAUGAAUCACAGACGUCACCAUCACUUGCUGCCCUAGCGCUUUGGGUGACGUUGAGUCGGUAGACUGAGCUCCGACGGUCAACCUCGGUUACCAAAAAACUAAGCCCAAAUCAGAGGCAUCUCUUGAACAAGAGCAGAGGAUGAAGCUCAAGGAAGACCAACAAAGACGGUCGGAAUGUGCAGAGGCUAUGUUGGAUCUCCAACAGACAGCUGAGAGCCCGGGUAUGAGCCCGGAUCUGAAGCAGACAGCCGAGAGCUCCGAACCGAUGCAGCCAGCUAACAACCCACAAUCAGAGGGCAUCAGUGGGAAUGGGAUAUUAAAUGAUCAAGGCUAUGCAGAUGCUGGAUGCCAGACUGAGCUAACGAUGGAUGACAUCGAGAAGAUGGAGGAUGUUCUGAGACAGAACACAACAGAGCUGGGAAAUCUUCGGACCAAGGCACUGGACACACAGUUCAACCAGGAGUCCUUUGAAAAAAAAACAAAGACAAGACAAAGUUCUACACAGGGCUCCCGAACUUCUGAGUUUUAAUUCAGAUAUUUGAGCUGCGCAAGCCGUACAUCACCUGUGGCCCUAUGUCUGUGCUGUCUAAAUUUGAACAGUUCAUUUUAGUUUUGAUGAGGCUGAGACUAAAUCUCCCGCUGAAAGAUUUAGCUUUCAGGUUCAAGAUCUCUCUGCCCA